rnacentral:lncRNA from 1 species
GAGUUUAUUUUGUCCAUGAUGUUAAAGGUGGUUAAAAGGUAUAAAAGUUUCAUUCUUUUACAUGUAGCUGACCAGUUUUUCCAGCACCAUUUAUUGAAGAGAUUGUCUUUUCCCCAUUAUAUAUUCUUGCCACCUUUGUCAUAGAUUAAUUGACCAUAAAAUAAUGGGUUUAACAGGAAACAACAGGUGUUGGUGAGGAUGUAGAGAAAGGGGAAACCUCUUAUAGUGUUGGUGGGAAUGCAAACUUGUGCAGCCAUUCCGGAAAACAGUAUGGAAUUUCCUAAAAAGUAAAAAAUAGGACAAUCCUACAGUCCAGCAAUUGUGCUACUAGAUAUUCACCCAAAGGACACAAAAAUACUGUUUUGAAAGGAUACAAAAAUACCCUAAUGUUUAUAGCAGCCAUUAUCAACAGAAACCAAAUAAUGGAAAGAGCCCAAUGUCCAUCAACUGAUGAAUGGAUAAAGAAGAUGUAUGUAUGUGUGUGCAUGUGUGUAUGUGUAUAUACCAUAUCUUCUUAUAUAUACUACAUAUACAUCACACACACACACACAAACACAUGCACACAAUGUAAUAUUACUCAGCCAUCAAAAGAAUGAAAUCUUGUCAUUUGCAACGAUGUGGAUGGAGAUAGAAUUUAUUAUGCCAAAUGAAAUAAGUCAGUUAGAGAAAGACAAUACCAUAUGGUUUCACUCAUAUAUGGAAUUUAAGAAACAAAACGAAUGCACAUGGAGGUGAGUGUAAAGAGAGGAAAACCAAGAAACAGACUCUUAACUAUAGAGAAUAUGGUUACUGGAGGGCAGGUGGGAAGGAGGAUGGGCUAAAUGGGUGAAGGGUAUUAAGAAGGGCACUUGUGAUGAGCAUCUAGUGUUGUAUGUAAAUGAUGAAUCACUUAAAUUCUACACCUGAACUAAUAUUAUACUGUAUGUUAACUAACUGGAAUUUAAAUAAAAACCUAAAAUAGAAAAAAGAAUAAAUAAACAUAGGACUAAAAAAAUCAUGAAUUUAUUUCUGGGCUCUCUGUCCAAUGAUCUAUGCAUCUAUUUUUGUGUCAGUACCAUACUGUUUUGAUUACUAGUAUAGCUAGUAUAGCUUUGUAGUAUAUCUUGAAAUCUGGAAUUGUGAUACCUCUAGCUUAAAACACAGGUAAUUUUUAAUUGAGAAGUCUGGCUUAAAGUCAACUUACUAAAGAAAAAAAUUCACAGAAAAAAUAAAAACAGACAACAUAACAAGUAUACACAUACAAACUUUCAAUAAGAGAAACAGAUAGAAACAAAAUAACAUUUUACACUGAUCAUGUGUAAAAUGUGAUUUAAAAUAUUGAAAAUAUUUGCUGUUGAUUAGACUAUGGGGAAACAAUCUUUCUCAUCUAUGUUAGUAGAGUGCAAAUUUAUAUAAAAAGUCUCAAAAUUACACCUCCAGGUUUUUAUCUACAGAAAUGUUUGCAUAAUUACAUCAGAAUAUAGGUACAAAGAUAUUCAACUUAGCAUUACCUAUAAUAUUGACAAAUUAGAAGUAGUCUAUAUAUUAGUCAUAUCUUAACAAGUUUGGAACAUGAAAAAUGAAAAAUUAUAAGGUUCAGAUUUCUGAGAAUGGAGGGAUGAAAUCAGAUUCUUCCCUAAUCCUAAUGAAAUGUGCAUAGAUAGGUAAAACAUUAAAAAAAAAAAAAAAAGAAACCACUUAUUAACAUUCAAAGCCAGUUUUAUCCUGUAUUUUUAAAAAUUAUUUAAGAACUUUAUUUGUUGUGCCCAAGAUUGCGAAUCCGAGAAACCACCAAGGAGCCAACACCGAUGCAAACACACGAGAGUUUAUUUACAAGCUCCAGCUUGGGUCCAAGUAUACCUGACACAGGGGAGCAGGGACUUGGACCCCGAGGUGGGUUUCAGCUUAGUUUUAAGGACUGGUCUAGGGGACCUCCAGAAGGGGUGGAGCAAUUCCUCAAGUUCUGUUUACAUUUUGAUAUGGGGCCUUCAAGGGCAUUGAGCUCUGUUCUUAUUCUAAUAGGGGCUUCCUGCCACUGGCUUGGGCUCUGUUCUCAUUCUAAUAGGGGCUUCCUGCCCUUGGCUUGGGCUCUGUUUUUAUUCUAAUAUGGGGCUUUCUAGAACAUUAAGCUGUAAGCUGUUUUCUUCCUGUAACUGAAGUAAGGUAAAGUUCAGCUAUUAUUCACAGGGGCCUGGGAUGGCUGUACUUGUGAUAACGCUUAACUUAAAGUGGAAUGGCCUUAAUUUUCUUGGCCUUCACAAUUAACGAGUGCUUGCCAUUUGUUGAUUUUUUUUUUUUUUUUUUUUUUUGAAAAACUCAAGUUGUAAACUUUUAUUUCAAAUUAAAAAUGAGGUUCUUAAAAAUCUCAACUGGACCGGAUAUGAAACAAUUUAAAAACCUUUAAAGGUAUAUUGAGACUUUGGGGAGGGGCUGUGUGUGUUUGACAAGGAGAACUAUGGGACAGUCAUGGGUGCUGAGCUCUGCCAUGUCCUUGCCACCCUGGGAGAGAAGAUGACCGAGGUUGAAGUGGAGCUGAUAUUGGCCGCAAGAGGAUGCCAAUGGCUGUAUCAAUUACAAAGACUGUCAAACACAUCAUGCCUGGGUGAAGCGGACUCCUUCAGGGUACCUGGCCCUUGGCCUCAGCCUUUCUGGGGCAAGUGAAGCAAGAAGCCCAGAGUAACUGAGCUGGAGCUAAGGUCCUGGACCCACCUUUGGCAUGCAGCCCUGAAGGCAUCCCAGGCUCAUAGCCCUCCCUGUAAAUAAACAGUCCUGGCAAGGUCCUGGGCCAAAUUCUCUGAGAAAAAAAAAAAAACAAAACAAAAACAAACAAACAAACAAAAAACAGAAAAACCAGGCUUAAAAAAAAAAA